GUGGAUGAAGCUUAGGCUAAAUUAGGCUAAACUUUUGUAAGCUACUUGAGUCGAGUCUAGUCUUACAUGAGGGAUCUACGGACAAAACUCAGUUUAAGUUAGUCUAAACCAAAGAGGGAUGUCUAAAUCGGGCCUAGUCUUAAAUGAGGGAUCUGCGGACGAAGCUUGGAUUAAUUCAGCCUGAUGAGGGAUCAAAGGUUUAGUAAUUUAGGCUACAACACAGAACACAAGAGC
rnacentral:lncRNA from 1 species